rnacentral:rRNA from 1 species
UACGAAGGGGACUAGCGUUGUUCGGAAUUACUGGGCGUAAAGCGCACGUAGGCGGAUUUGUAAGUCAGGGGUGAAAUCCCGGGGCUCAACCUCGGAACUGCCUUUGAUAUUGCAAGUCUCGAGUCCGAUAGAGGUGGGUGGAAUUCCUAGUGUAGAGGUGAAAUUCGUAGAUAUUAGGAAGAACACCGGUGGCGAAGGCGGCCCACUGGAUCGGUACUGACGCUGAGGUGCGAAAGCGUGGGGAGCAAACAGG